UGCUGCGGGAAAUGGCCGCCGAGGAGGUAGGGCUUACGCUUGCGUUUG
rnacentral:rRNA from 1 species